GUCCAUCACGCCACUGACGCUCAUGCACGAAAGCGUGGGUAUCGAACAGGAUUAGAUACCCUGGUAGUCCACGCGGUAAACGAUGAUAACUAGUUAUCCGGCGCGAUUGAGUGUUGGGUGACCGAGCGAAAGCGUUAAGUUAUCCACCUGGGGAGUACGCCGGCAACGGUGAAACUCAAAGGAAUUGACGGGGGCCCGCACAAGCGGAGGAACAUGUGGUUUAAUUCGAUGAUACGCGAGGAACCUUACCCGGGCUCAAACGCAUCGCGCUACACCCUGAAAGGGGUGGUUCUUCGGACGCGAUGCGAGGUGCUGCAUGGUUGUCGUCAGCUCGUGCCGUGAGGUGUCGGCUUAAGUGCCAUAACGAGCGCAACCCCCAUCUUCAGUUGCCAUCGGGUUAAGCCGGGCACUCUGGAGAGACUGCCGGCGCAAGCUGUGAGGAAGGCGGGGAUGACGUCAAAUCAGCACGGCCCUUACGUCCGGGGCGACACACGUGUUACAAUGGCGGGGCACAGCGGGAAGCCAGGCGGCGACGCCGAGCUGAUCCCGAAAACCCGUCUCAGUUCGGAUCGGAGUCUGCAACCCGACUCCGUGAAGCUGG
rnacentral:rRNA from 1 species